rnacentral:rRNA from 1 species
AACGAACGCUGGCGGCAGGCCUAACACAUGCAAGUCGAGCGCGCCCUUCGGGGUGAGCGGCGGACGGGUGAGUAACGCGUGGGAACGUGCCCUUUUCUACGGAAUAGCCUCGGGAAACUGAGAGUAAUACCGUAUACGCCCUUUGGGGGAAAGAUUUAUCGGAAAAGGAUCGGCCCGCGUUGGAUUAGGUAGUUGGUGGGGUAAUGGCCUACCAAGCCGACGAUCCAUAGCUGGUUUGAGAGGAUGAUCAGCCACACUGGGACUGAGACACGGCCCAGACUCCUACGGGAGGCAGCAGUGGGGAAUCUUAGACAAUGGGGGCAACCCUGAUCUAGCCAUGCCGCGUGAGUGAUGAAGGCCUUAGGGUUGUAAAGCUCUUUCAGCUGGGAAGAUAAUGACGUUACCAGCAGAAGAAGCCCCGGCUAACUCCGUG